rnacentral:tRNA from 1 species
UCUUUUAAAGGAUAACAGCAAUCCGAUGAUCUUAGGCAUCACUUCUCUUGGUGCAACUCCAAGUAAAAGUA